ensembl:lncRNA
GUAUCCCUCACAAUCUUUAUCGGGACCGUCACCUCACUUCCCAAGAGGGACAAAUCCACCUCGAAUGAAAACAACGUAGGCUGCCGAAACACGGAGGUUACAAGAAUGUGCUGGAUGCUCCUCAGCAACGCAGCAGUCAUUAACUGGAGCAGCAAAAGCAGAAGGCCUGAUAUUAGUUCUUACAUCUCUCAGUUUAGCCUGUAACAAAGGACACUACCUUUCCCAACAAUAGUUACAGGUACUAUUAUUGUCAAAUCUGCCACCUAAUCUAAGUCAGAUUUAAACACUCCGCCCUUUCUUGAAUGGCUCGCUUGUGAAAUCGCAACAGAUCCACUUCCCUGCCAACCGAAAACAUUGAGUCCCAGAACAUGCCCCAAAACUGCUCCUAUAUAGCAACACAUACUCAUGCGCUGACACAGCCGAAAAAGAGGAGAAGGAUAUUACCCCUCUAGGACAUGGGUUUUCAAUUGGUUUUGUCCCAGGGAUCAUUUUUUGCGUACAGACGAGGGGGGGGAUGGGAAUUGACAACUAGGAGGAGACAAGUCAUUAAAUACUCGUCAUGCAUUAUAUUGCAUUGCAUAUAAUGUGUGCUGGUCAACUAGUCUAAAAUUAAUUUUAGACAAAUUUUGCGUUGUUUAGAGUGACAAAUCGUACCAGCGUACUUUGAAGUCAAAAUGCGUAUCAGGUUAGCAGGUCUGCUUAUUUAUAGAACGGUGGACCACUUUACCUUCUGCCUUGUCAGUCCCCUCACCUCAAAAUCUACCUCCUCAAAAACGGUAGCGUUAGCUAAUAAUUUUCCACCGGAGCUUUAGCUAGCUGGCCAACGUCGCGUUCUCUCCUGCUGUGUUAAAUGACUCAACUCAUCAAGCUGUGGCUAUCGUUAGCUAAGUCUAUGUCAACAAAGCUCCUGGGUAACUUAACUUCGAUAUACCAGAAGAUAUUAAAAUUAUUGAAACCAUCACUCACCGUGUCCGCAAUUCACUGAAUCUCGCGCUACCUUCUGGCACGCGCACCUUUUCGCAGUUCACUGAGUAUGAAUACCCGCAAUUUUCACCUUGGAGUGCAUAAUUCCAGCCAAUCCAAAAACGGGGUUUGUAACCAAUUAGAUGCAGAUACCAUGGUGACUGGCUCCGCCCCCUUACUUUCAAAAAGAACAACAGCGAGCUUGUAGAAAACACCUUCGAGCACGAGGAGAGACUAGCCUCGCGAGCAAGGAAGUUCACGUCUGUGAGCGAGCAAAUCUCUCUCGCGCGAGACAGACUUUUGAUCGCAGAUGUUUGAUUUCCACGCGCGCAUCAACCCGAUUUGCGCUCUCGAAUUUUGACAGUGAGACGCCCAGUUACGGAAAGGAAGAACUCUGUUCAAUGCCUUGAAGCCAAAGAGGCUGUUAUGGUGGAAUAGGAGGAAAGUUGGCUACAGAUAGGGCCUGUCUCAAUAUGCGAUAAAUUGACUUAUCGCACACUAUUUUAAAUUGAGUUUAGUAAUUUUUGGGGCUGCAAUAUUAAUUUUACAUAUAAAUGAACGUCACCAACAUUUGAGUUUAUCACGCUGCCUCGGUCCCUUUUCCUUGUGGGAAGCGGGGCCGGGGCUUAGGCAGCACGCACUCGUAACAUCUACAGCCGAAUCCGGUAAGAAAUUAAUGGACUUGAUUUCGAAGGCACAAUGUUCGGCCUGAUGUUUGGGAAAAUUUUGCCUUUAAGCUGAGAGAGGAGAGCCAGUUAACAUGAACGAGCCAGUAUGUCGACUUUAAAAACAGUGGCAACGAAAACACAACUAAGCAAAAAUCCCACCUAAAACAACAACCAUCCGCCCAGUGUUUCAAGCUGAACUACUGUCGGUUCCUCUGGAUUGCUCGUUCGCCUCUUUGGCCGGGAGAAACACACCCUGCCGGCGGUCGAAGCCCCCGCAUUAAACCUCCCCGGCUGCUUUCCAUCGCCAUCGCACCGAGCCCGAUGCUUCGCCCGCUCCAUGUCCCUCGCACUCAUUAUUCAUUUGUUUUAUUUAUUUAGGAUAUAUUUUUUCUUACAUUCCGAUUCUAACUGUUCUGACGAAUAAAACAUUUUUUGUUCUUUGAAAGAGCGUACUUGUAUUAUAUAUUGCCAUUAUGUUACCAACGGCAUAAAAUGGUCUGAAAAUUGCAAUUUUGCAAUAAAUCCAGUUACCAGUAACUAGGGCUCUAGGAUUUUGGAAAGCAAGGGCAGAAGUCAGACAGGCCUCCACUUGUUGACUUUUAGUGGGAUUCGAGCAGAACAUUGCCCCAUGGUGGCUAAGGCUAUCUACUCUCAUUCCAGGAGCGCUGCUGUUUUUGCCUACAGUAGACUUAUUUUUAUAUAGCAACAGUAUGCAAGACUAUGUUCCAUUGCUUGUAUAUUGUUUCUAGUAUUUCAUAGUCAAUGUCAAUUGUAACCACUGUCUCAUAAUGAAGUGUGUUUUUGUAGUGGAACCACGUCUCAUGCUACUCUGUACAAAUAAACCUGUGCCAGCUAAAUGACCUGUGUCCUAGGAAUUCUUGCUACUGUGUGGGCAAGACCCAAAAAUUCCCACGGUUGCGUUGCUGGUAACUGACGAUUUGGUACCAAUUAAAUUAAAAACAAGAUCCCAUCCAUCAAACUCAUUAAACGCCACACCUCUCAGGGAAGGGAAGCAGCCAUGUUGGCCAAGAAGUCUCUUUAAGAUGGGUGAGAAAAGGAACAAGGUCCAGAGAGAUAAACAAAAAAUGUGAGACGGGAUGGAGUCGAAGGAGCAGGUAGUUUGCCGGCCAGAGGUUACCAAGGUGAGAACGUGGUUGGGAGACAAUGGGGUAAAAGAGGAGAAUGAGGGGAUGGAAUUAUAGUCUUAGAGGGAAUAUUAGACAAUGAGGACAAUAUGUCAUCUAUAUUUUUUGUAAAACUUUGUUCUUCCUGAGGCAGCUAAAGAAAUUCAACGAGCCUAAGACAAUGAUGUUACAUUUCUACACGGCCAUUAUCGAGUCCAUCCUCUGCUCCUCCUUCACAGUCUGGUACGCUGCAGCCACAGCCAAAGACAAGGGCAGGCUGCAGCGUGUCAUCCACUCUGCAGGGAGAGUGAUCAGCUGCAAUCAGCAGUUUUUUCAUCGGCAGUUGAUCUCAUGAUUCAAAUCAGAGUCCCCCAUUGAUCAAAUACUCAUUUUGCACAGUGGGUUCUCUCACCAUGGAAACAUUUUAUUCUCAUAUUGCACCAAUUCAGAAAGUCAAAUUUAAGUGUGUAACAUAUGUGGCAAUAAAUAGCUUCUGAUUCUGAAAAGAUGGAGAAGACUUUGGGGAGGGUUAGAGAUUGAGGAUUGAACUCUGGUUUGGUAGAAGCUGUUGGCUGAAUAAAUAGAAGCAGAUAGAAAGGGGAGAAGUUAAUGAUAGACAGUAAGUAAAGAAGUGUAAAGUGAUGGGAGGACAUCCCCAUCUACGUUCUGUAUAGAGCACCUUGUAACUGAAGCACUAUAAUUUGCACACCUGCUUAAGGCUGCCCGUUAAAUUUGAUUGCUUUUCAUACUUACCAUUGCUUAGCUUCAUUCUAAUUGAAAUUACUUGUUAACUAGUAUGUCUAUAUAUCCUAUUAAAAUGCUGCUGUAAUAUGAUUAAGAAAAUAUGUGAGCAAGAGUACAUUAAGACCACUUACUAAUGGACAGAGAAUUACAAGCUUUAAAAUAGCUGUUUACACUUCUACUCUUAAUUGUAAUAAAGGCCACUACAGAAUAGGACACUCACAGCAGGGAUGAAGCAAUCAGAUCUGGAUCUGGUUAUGAAAGACAAUAUUGUCCUAUAUAAUCAUGUGGGCACUGGAAAUAUAACAAUUGCUUAAAUCAAAGCUUUCCUUAAUAGACAUACAUAAUGAGUGUUGUACAGCUUAAUCACUGUUAUAAUCUUCGCUCUCUACAUUCCACAUCUUGAUUACGUGGUUGACCUUGAAAUGUCAGCAGAUGAUGCAAUUAGAGGAAAUCUACAAUUGGAAAAAGGGAUAAAAAAAACAUAUCUUUAUAAAUGUUGUAGCUUUGCAUAUUUCUUUGAAUUACCGUACUUUCCGCACUACAAGGCGCACUUAAAAGCCUUUUAUUUUCUCAAAAAACGACAGUGCGCCUUAUGAUCCGGAGCGCCUUAUAUAUGGAUCAAUUGGUUAAUCGGUUGAUCCAUACUGGUUGUACAUGGCGCUCAAGGCGCUCUACCAUACAUGCCAAAGCUAGUCUUCGACGGCGAGAUGCUGAGCGGCGCUCAAGCGCGUGAGAUAUGGAGCUUGUUUCAGGGCGCGUCGGAGAAACAAAGCUGUCGUUCUCGCCGAGCCGGGAAAUAAGUUAUUCUAAAAGCAGCCGAAGAUUUAAGGCGAGGGGGGCGGAGGGAGCGGACGCACCUCGCAGCAUCAAUUGGACCCUGAAAGAUCGUCUCCACCUCCCCACACCCCCCAUCCACCUGCCCCGACGCCAAUCGUUUGACUACAGUAUCUUAUGCGCCUUAUAAUUCGGUGCGCGUUAUAGUGCGGAAAAUACGGUAAGUGACAACUGUUUUGGUGACAUGUUACUGUAUACUCUGAUUGUCUAUUAGGGACUCCAGCCAUCAGACUUUGUAAACAUUUGUGACACAAAUGUUAAUAUAUUUAAUUGUAUAAUAGCAACACAAACAAAAGCAAUAAUAUAAUAUUAAGAAAAGAAACUUACUAACUAACCAGAAUCACAGGUUCAAAGCAGAUUUCAUGAGAUGGGUUUUUAAGGCUGAAUGUGGUGGGUGAAGAAGAUUAUCUGAGGUGCUCGAGGAGAGAGCUCCUGAGAGAGGGUGCAGCAUUGGUUAUUGCUGCAAAGGGUUGGGGUCGUCCGAGAUGAGCAAAGAAUACAAUCAAAUGUAUUUUUUUAUUUUUUUUAAAACUCAAAUGUAUUAAAAGAAUCUCAGGAGCCUCCAGGUAUGCUCAUGAAGGGCUGCUCUGAAGUUGUCCAUUAGGUUCUGUCGGGAACUCCGAUCCACCCGAGUUGGUUGAUGAGAAGGAUCGCGUUGAUCAAUUAAAGUCAAAAAGUUAACAUUUAUUUAGAAGAGAAAAAGAUUACAUGAGCAAUUCUCCGCAGACAUAUCUGGCUCUAACUAUUGCAGGAGGUCCAAUACACGAGCACGUAUUUCAGCGUUUGGUGUAAAUGGUGUCUCCAAGCAGUAAAAACGCUGAGUUUUUAUACACACACACAGGAAGAUCAUCCUCAGUGGCAGGUGCAAAUUAUAAUUAAUUGAGAAAAAGUAGAAACGCAGAUAUGAAAACUUUCGUACCAAAUAAGAUAUGAACCAAGGCCAUGAACAGAAUUCCCUUUGAUGGAGCAUCUAUGAGAGAGUUGACCGCCUCCCUUCUCAGGACACAGCUGCCAAUUAAAAGUUUUGUACCAUCCUGCUCUUUGCACGUCAGGGUCAAAUACAGGCACUUCAGACACGGAUUUAGCACAAGACAAUGUUAUAUCAUAUUUUACCAUUACAUGCAUCGCACAGUUCUUGUUGGUGAUGCGCUAAAACUCUUCCCCUACUUCUACUCCUUAAAAGAAAUACUAAAUCAUAAACCCAACAUAAUAUAUUCUUGGUUCACCUGCUUACCUCUGCCUCACUAAACAGAGCAGGCCACCGUUCCAGAACCUCUGACACCAUAGGCUGCAGCUCUACGAUGUCAUUGCGCCUCAAAGAGAAAGUCAGCUCCAUCUUUUGUCUGAGUGCAACAUUCGUAUUCUUCUUCUUGAACUCCUCAACCAGAGCCAGUCUUUCAUCCUCCAGUGAGUCAUCAUUAUGGUUUUCUGGAUGGUCAGGGACAUGGUUAAUCUCACCUCACUUUGCUCUCUUCAGCAAAAGACUUGCAUUGCAAGACUUUCCUGAAGAAUGUUUUACAACUGUUGAACUGAUUCAGGUACUUCAGGAAGUGCCACUUUACGGGACAUUCUUGGAGAUUUUCACCAGCAGCAGUAUUCCAGCCUGUGUCACAAGAAACAAGGACAAAACAAGGGUUAGGUUGCAGAGGGUAAAAAACAAGACAAUUCAUAAACAAUGUAGCAAGGUCUUACACUGUGUAAGAUGCAAAGCAUUAUAUUUUUAUAAAUGUAUAUGUGGUUCUAACAAGCAGAUGUACAUAGAUAGAGCAAGCUGGUGCAGGCAAAAACACACAACAUACACAAGGUUCCAACAAAGACUGAACUGAAAACCAAACAUACACACAGGGGUGAUUGCAAACAGGACACAGGUGAAUGAAACAAGACACAAGUGCAACAAAUCAGGAAAUCUACUUGAGGAAAACCAAAAGUAAAACAGAAAGAAAUUCAAAUAUGACAGACAGCAUGUGACUGCAUCUUGUUUGAAUGGGAGAAAUGAGAGUUAGAGCAAUCAGAGUUCACUUACCAUUCUGUGUCACUUCAAUGGAGCAGGCACACUUUGAGUCACCAGCAACUUCCCUCCCACUGUGUAUGCAACCAAUGGAUGGUCGUUGAGAGCCUGAGGAUCCAAAAUCACAAUGGCUGCGUAGAUGCUCUCCACAAGCUCAACAAACCAAGACCUACAACAGUCUACUGUAGGUUAUGAAAGUCAGCCCUCAGAAUUUUAUUUUUUUGGAAUUUGAGCACUUUAUUUGAACAUGCACAUUUUAUUAUUAGCCAUUAGUGUGAAGGGAGUGACCGGAGGAAAAAGGGAUGUCAGAGUCCGUCAGUCACUGAGCCAGACUGCUAAUGGUAAGAAACUAUUUCGGUGGCAAGAGGUCUUAGUGCUGAUGGACCUCAGCCUCGUGCCAGAUGGAAGGGGCACAAACCGAUUUUGUCCAGGAUGAGAUGGGUGGGAUACAAUCUUUCUAUCUCUCUUCAGGGUGGGGCUGCGUUCUUCCGGAAAUCCACUACCAUCUCCACAGUCUUCACAGCGUUGAGCUCCAGGUUGUUUUGGGCACUCAUCCAAAAUGCAGCAGCUUGACUGUUCUUCAACCAACCCAAAUUCACAGACACUACUCCGCUUGUCCGCUCCGUGGCUGCCCGCAUCCGUUUCAAAACACUAGUAUUUGUGUACCGUGCAGUGAACAGAUCAAUCCAGUCUACAUCCAGACCACGCCACAUACUUAUAGAACUUGUGUAGUUUGGCUUUCUUGAAAAAAAUCUACUUUCUUGAUUCUUGUUGUCUUCAUGGAUAAAGUCAGCUAAAUUACAAAUGUAAAUGUAGGCUAUAGUUGAAAACAGCUGCUUCCUCCUUGACCUGUGCCUCAAGGAAUAUAAGUAUUAACAUAACUUGUGAAUUUAAUUUGACAUAUUCUUUACUACACAGCCAGGAGACAAAGACAAAAAAUAGAUCAAUUAGCUGAUAUUAAUCCAUUUACUAAUACAGCUUUAGAUGACAGAUCUAAUUUCUAGGAGUCCACAUUUACCUAUCUUGUUCUAGAAUUAACUGUACUAAACAUGUAUAUAAAUGCUGUAUAUAAUAUCAAGUUUUGCCGUAACGUCAGACUGGCUUUUCAGACAUUAGGAAAGAAAUGCUUGCCUUUUGUUGCAACCCCUACUGCAAUCUGAAGUGGUACAGCAAACAGAAGCUGUGGAGAAUGAAGGGGGAAUGAAGACGCAAACAAAAAGAACAGACUCUUCAAUCACCUAGAAAUCCCUUUCACCAUCAUCACCAAUUCCCCCUCCAUUCUUGCAGAAACAAACAUAACAAGGAAGCAAUUUCAAAUGUAAUUCUUCAACACCAAUAAACCUUGACGCUGUUCCCCAGAGACGUGGUGUGCAUCCUGCAGGCAGAGGAGGAACAGUGCGGUUGUGAUACUUUAAAAAUGCUGUGUUGACUUCGUUCUGUACAAACCGUAAGACAUUGACAUUGUGACAGACUUUUUAAAUACAGUAGCUUCGCUUUUGGUGACAUCUCUUCAACUGCACUUUAUCAGGCACAGCAGUAUCAUUCGCAGAAGCUGCUUCAUGAGCAAUAAAGCCUUUGGGCAAAGAAGACCAUAGAACAUGGGAACUUCAGAAAUCCCUAAAACUAAGUAUCGACUGAAAUCUGCUCACCCUAAACAGUAACUGCUGUGUCGAUGUUUUCAAUUGUAGGAUCAAUUUUUAUUAAACUGAUGGCCUCGACCUAGGAAUGGAUCAUUGGCCUGUUACUGGCAACAACACAUAGCUUCUUAACCGGCAUAUAAUACGAGCACAAAAUGUUCUGCUAGUUAAAGCCUAUCUUGGUUACUUGGUUGUUUUCUGUCUCUGCUUUUCUCACUGGUUUCGUGCAGUUGGGCCUCGUUGAAUAAAACCUGGGCUUAGUAUAGAGAGAGAGGGGCUGCUCGGAUCUUGUCAUUAUGAGUAUUCGCUCAGGAGUCUAUUGUAGCCAGCCAGCCAUAUAAGCAGCCAAAACUGUUAAAACGUUGGCAGAAAUCUGUGUUUUCAUAAAGGAUCCCAUCACUUUAAUUAAAUAAGUUCUAAGGGAUGCUUCUUAACCCAACUAAACAUUUACAAGUCCUGGAACUACCUCGCUAAGCAGCUUGUGUAAUUUGACUGUGGUUGUAAUUGUAGAUUUCUAUGCAUUCAAGCUGCUGGAAUUUCAAAAUCACUCACCUUGAGAGAGUCAAAGGUGUUUCUCAACAACGUAACCUAACAAGGGAUGUUCAGAGUAAAUUGGGACCGAUUGUGACCAGUUUGAUGGUCUUUGUUUUUCAGUUCUCGCCCUUGAGCCUACAGUAUGUCUUUUUUUUUAUUCUGUCAGUUGGCCUGCCAGUCUUUCAUCCUCUCUGUCUGUAGUGUUUUACGAUUCAGACGUAUGGGAUGUAAUAAAGCAUGUAUUUUUUAAGAGCAAGGAACAUAAAUAAUGGCUUUUCUUAAUGUAAAAGAUUUUUUUAGUGCCUAUUAAACUUAUUCUUUCUGCACUCUUUCCAAUGACGGCCUCUCAGGAGGGUUCUGCGAGCUAUCUUGCAUAUCGGGUGAAAGAAACACACUUUUACACAUUAUGAAAGACUUGGAUAUCACGCCAAGAGGGGGCAUUCUACAUUUUCAUCAUUAUACUUAUACUGUGCUCUGCUGCACUUAAACAGGAAUAUUUGUGAUAUUAUUUUUCAUUAAUCAUUUACUUAGUAGGAUUGUCGUCUUUUCCAAAAUAAGGGCAGGAGCCGUAACAUUUAGCACACGUAAUAGGGAAUGCAAUUAAUUGGUUUGCUUAGUCUCUAUUUGGUCUCCUGUGAUAGACAAUGAUGUCUGGACAGCUUAAGGGUAGAUAUAAUGCAAGUAACCUGUAGAGGAAAAAAGCAAUUUAAUUGUCAUUUGUUAUGAAUGGCUGUUAUGAUUUUCUUGUGUGUCAAGGAAAAAAGAUCUGCUUACAGACAGAAGGAAAUUACUAAAUUCAACCGGUUUAAGAGGCCUUUGGCUGAACAGCAAAACAUUUAUGACAAAUGGUAUUAACUAAACAUAUAUCAUUUACCAUGAAUUCAAUUGGGGUUUCACUCCACUUUUGAAGAGCCCGUGUUUAGAUUUGGUUUAGCAGUUAUGGAAUAUAAAACGCUUAUCACAGCAGAAGUGCCACUGUUGGCGUGUUUCUCUUCAAGCAGAGGCGGAGUCAUUUUUUCUUAGUAAAUUCUUUUUUUAAGGGUUACAUCUCAGCUUUCUUAUUGUGCCAGGUAUUUCACACAGACAAUGACAGAUUUUUAAAGCCAUUGAAAACUUGCUUUUAAAACUGAAGAGAAACGCAGCGAUGCAAUAUGCACUGUAUUGUCACUCCCAAACUGUAUAAAGUGUAAAGAAAAGUAUAAAAAUGGAUUCUUUUUAUUCAAUCCGUUCUUCCUUGUCAAAGUAUGGCAUCCACAUUAGUGGAACUGGACCAGCAAAGGUUGAGUUAAAGAUUUGGGUGUUAUCCUGUACUUCAUUUUAGGGACACAUGUGAUUUAAACAAAAACAACAAAACGCUACUGCGCAUUUUCUUUAAUUAUUGUCCGAUCGCCAAAUAACUUUAUCCUGCCUACUAGCACCUUUAGUCCAAUUAGAUGUAGAGAUGCAAUGGUGACUGGAUCCGCCCACUUACUGUCAAAAAGAAAGUCUCACCGCUUUAAAAUUGAAACUUUUGGUACUUCAGGCUUAUAGCACUCCGGUAAUAAGAUAAUUCCAGUUUGCAGUGGUUACAAAUAGCGUUACUUUUAUAGACUACGCUGUCUGAUAAGGUUAGUUAAGUAACCCUAACCCAGAGAUUAAAAAGUGCCCUUCCCAAUGCUAAAAGAAAACAGAAAAAUGCUGUUAAUGCAUGUUACAAUCAUAGUCGAAGUUAUACGUGGGGUCCACAGGAAAUGGACACCCCCCCCCUAUAUUCCAUUCUUUUAUAAUUAUUUGUUUAUUAAACUAGCAUAUGUUCUUGUGCAAAGUGAUAUUAUGUAUAUGUGUUGGUAAGUGAAAGACUUAUGCUCACACAGGCACUGCGGUCACCUAAGGGGUCCUUGUUUAGAGACAAGCGGGAAAUGUUUUUGCGCGCUUAGAAGAAGUAAGGAAAGAGAAGGAAGAAGAAGUGAGAAAAAAAAGUACCUGUAACCUGGCUGAUGCCUGUUUUAACGGAGGAAUAAAUCAUUUCUUAAAAACGAACACACGCCUGGAAUGUACGUAUGUUCAUGUGUGCUACAUUACAUACAUACAUACAUACAUACAUUAUAUAUAUAUAAGCUACAUAUAUGAUUGUGAUGGGUAGAGCUCCCCCUCCCUCUACCUGUUUGGCCACACCCCCCUAAUUAGCGAUUCGCAACAGGUGUGGCCAGAUUACUUCCUGGUUUCCUUUAAAUGUAGGCUUUGCCCCAGGUUUUCCCAGCUCCACACUGGUCUCAGGAAUGACUACAGCUAGUCAAGGUGCAGGACUGAGCGCUAAAGGGGACCAAUCAGAGCUCCCACCCCAUCUCCGCAGCACUCGCCAUGUGUGGCUGUACAGUGUGCAAUUUACAGGUUUGUCUGCUUUUGCAGUAGAGCAGGGUUUUUAUUGGUUUUGUUAAAAUAUGCUCUAUAGCGAUGCCAUGAAGUUCAGUGGAAUUUUACAUUGUGUAUGACAUGUGCUUCCUUUUUAUAACAGGAACAGGGAAAUGAUGUCUGCUUUUGGUGGUAGCUGAGUUCUAGCCACUGCUGUUUUUGCCCCCUUUUGCAAAUAUGUUUUGUAUUUAUGGUUACCUUGUUUAUGCUAGUAUUUUGAUUACGAAUUGUUAUUAAAUUAGUUUUCUUCCGCGACAAGUUGGUGUUUAAUUUAUUUAUUUUUCCCCUCUUUUUUGUAAACUAACUGGGGUAGGUCCUAUACUGAGGUCCUCUCAAUAUCAGUACAGGUGGGCUGGUCAUAGGUCUACAGGUGGUGGUUCACUAGGUGGAGGGCUUCCUCAUUUUAGUUUAUUUGGCAUGUUUUAUAUUUGUUCUAAUUUAGUCUUUUUUUGCUAUGCAGUGUGUGUGACUUUUCCUUUCUGGUACCUGGUGGUGGCCCCUUCACUCUCCCACUCCUUUAGACCUCCCUGAUACAGUCCCCUUGUGCUGGUAAAAACACCGCAGUAUAGUGACAUCAUUUUGUUUAGCAUAAAGAAGAUCUUUUUGUAAUAAAAGCCAUAUUUCUAAAUUGAGACCGUUAUCUAACCAAUCUGAAGCUUACUUAUAAAUAAAACAGGAAACUAAUCAAAACUAGAAAUUCACCUCUCUGCUCUCCUUUCUUGAACAAAUAACCUUUUUAUUCAUUUGUGGUAUUCUCUGGGUGAAAGUCCCAGAGUGCCGUUGUUUCAUUGCGACCAGGCACAUCAGUUGCCCCGGUCACAUUAGCAAGAGUAUGAGACAACUCAUAUUGGACAAACUCCGCUACCACACAAUGCAUUUAUUCUUGAAAUUGUCUCAAUGCAGAUAAGUUUUAAGUUCCUAUAUUUGGUCAAUUAAAAAAAUGGCUGUUUUGAAAAUAUGCUGUGAUGUUUCUCAGAACGGCUGGCAGAGUGCUGUGUAAGCAGCCUGUUCUUCAGUGAGUACAGUCUGCUGUAUACCCUCAAUCGUUCAAUCAGUGGGUUUUAUGAGUACAUACUGAUUGAGCAUAAUAUCUCAAAAUGGAAACCGACCCUUUACCUUCAAAGUGACCUUGGGGCCAGCUCUCCAUAUUUGUUUUAUCAUGUUGGACUGAGGACAGACUGGACUCUACAGUGACUCUGUAUACAAGUUGUAUAACUAGAGAGGCUAAUAUCCCCUGGCAGGUGACACCAUUCUCCAGCUCUGAUAUUCUUUAAACAUUCUCUGAAUCCUAAACUCUCUCAAGCAAAGAACACUCUGCAGCUUAAUACAGCUACAUGCCAUCCCAAGGCUAACCUGUAUUUGCUUUUCCCCAAUGGCUCGAUAAGCAAUUUCAUCCACUCAGUAUACCGGUCUUCACACCCUGCUUAUCUAGCUCCAUUAACCUUAUAAAUAGCCACUUUGUUGUUCUUUGGCAGGUCAAAAGAAGGCAAAGCGGGCACAUGACUCUGUUUAGGGCACAGGUUAGCCUGUAUUUGUGUUUCACUAGAUACGAUAUAUUUCGUGUGUGUGUGUGUGUGUGUGUACGAACGACGGGAUUUACCAGGAAGAAGGGAUAACAGGUUGAGCUAAUGGUAGGCCCACACCACUCAGUCUCAUUGUGCAACACAACCUCGCACUGAUCAGGACAUCCCCCAUUUGCCUCUAUCUCAAGUAGGUCCACCCGGGAGGAGACUCAGAACAGUGGAAGGAUCAUUAUAUUACAAUGCCUCUGAAUCUCCCUGGAGGAGCUCAGGAGGAAGAUGCUGGGGAAAACGGUGUUUGGGCUUUAUAUGCUGCAACGGAUGAGCAGCGUGAAAUUCCUUGAGUGAGAAAUACCUCUUCCACUUUUGUCGAUUCACACAGUGAACCUCAAAUGCACAAGCGGAAGUGAAACAAAAUAUUUUACCCUCCUCCACAUCUUCAGACUUGAUGGAUUAGUGGAAUUGAUUGGAAGCUAAUUUGGCACGAUACACACUUGGACCUCCGAAUCAGGUCUGAAAAUUGGAGCCUCUUGCUCGGGUGAUUAUCUUUGCUGUCAAGGUCACAGUGUGUUGUAUCAGUGACCGAAACAGAAAUUCUCAGCUUUUCCCGUCUAAUCCAGGCUUUGGGGAUAUUUCAUUCACCAACACAGUCAAGGUUUUGUGCGUGUGUGUGUGUUAUUACAUUGGAGUUUGUGCUGACACUUCGGCAAGGACGCCUUCAAGCUCAUGCACUAUGUAUACUACCAUAGAGAGAUUAGGCAACCUUCAUUUUCCCACAUGGAAAUGCUGUUUGAACCUGGCGUAUAUUUUCAGGUGAGGAACCCCUUCUCACAGAAACACUCAGCCAUGGAAUAUUCUCCUUGAUAGCACGAUGACGCUAAUACAAUGGGACACCUCCGGAGCAGCACAGCCUCACGGUGAGUAGUGAGCUGAGGUAAGAGUAUUUUUUCUUUCUUUUCCUUGAGUCAGUUCCUCUUCUCCUUACGUAAUUUUAAACCUCACUUUUUGUCAUUGUCCCACAUCCACUUUCUCUCCCUCGCUUUGCCUUCUCUUAUGUUGUUCCCAUGGAAUUUUUGCGAACAAAUGUUCCUCCAUUCAACAAAGGCCCCCAAUCGUCCCAACCUUGCUUCCACUGAGGUGCCCUUUAUCUAAGUGGGAUAAUUUAGCUCCCGUUCUCUACAGAAUAAGACAAAAGCGCACACACACGAACAAACAUAUAAUUCAACCAUCAAGAUUAACUGUAAGUGUUGAGUAAUUACAUGUUUCUAACCUUUGUUUCCUUGUCAGCUGAAAUGAUUCAUAUGCUUCAGUGGCGGCUGGUGUAAUUUUCUUUGGUAGGGUUAGCCAGUCCGUUUCAGCAAACAUCCCAGUGUGAUUCAAUGCAAAGAAAGGAAUCAAACACAUUACUUUGCAUAUGAUGUUACAUUUCCAUGAUACGGCUAGCUUGACGGGAGUUAUCAGUGUGUGUAUUGGUGUUGCAUGUGCGGAUUUUGUUUCACGCCAGUUCGUUGCCUGUGUCACAACGCGGGAGGCGAGGCAGGAAGUAGGGCUAAAUUCAAAAUCCAAAACACCAGGGGAGAACAAACGAAGACACAGAAAAACGCAAACGGCAAACAGGGAUUUACAUGACACAGAGACGAUGUUCAGGGUAGACAUUCAAGGCAUAACAUGCAGGGUUGAACAAUCAAUGACACGACAAGGGAUACACCUGGCUUAAAUACACUGGGAAGGUGCAGGUGAUUGGACACAGGUGGAAACAAUCAUGGACAUGACAGACAAUCACAGGGAAUGACAGGACAAGGUAGGAAGUGAAGUUAACCCAGCAGCACCAGAGGCAUGAAACAACAAAAGACGUGAACCCAAACCGUCAGGUUGAUUUGAUCUGGAUCCAGUUGUUUUACACCUAGUUUCUCCAUCAAAGUUCUUCUCUCAAACGGGUCUUGCAGGAGAGAAUUUACAGAGUUCAGGUUCUGUUUUCAUGGAAUAAUACUGCUAGUGAUCGCCAUUUUCAUGUUGCUAAAACGACGCCUUGCAAGACUAUCCCUGACCAGAGUGCAGCCUGGAGCCAGCCCUACGAUGGCCCAAGGCUGAAUCUAUUUUAGGACCCUGAAAUUUAAGACGCAGACAGGCGGAGAGGAUGUGCAGGAAAAGAGUAUAUUCUGCGCAGAUAUCUAGAUUUACAAAUCUUACAAAUAAAUACUCAUUUUCUUACCAUAGUCUCCUUCUUGCUGUUGAAUGCCUAUUAAUGAAUAUGCACAGAUGUCUACUUUGGACUGCCAAAUCUCCACCUUUGAAAAUGUGAAGGGGCUAUAAAUGCAUUUAAAGUGAAAGAUUGGUAAAUAGAAUCAGCUCAAUGCAAUGCAUUCAAAGCUCAGAGUUCAAAACAAAAAGAUUCAGAAUUUGCCAAGUUGACUUGAGUUCAUGCAGUUAAGUGUUUUUAUGUACGCCUUGUAUGCCAACAAGUAAGAGUCUGAAUGCCAGCAUCUCUGUGAGGCUGUAAUGGAAUAAGGAAUCAGGAACAUUUAUUGCAAGUAUGUUAGACAUACAAGAAAUUUAAUUUACCCGCCAAAUGCAGGUCGACUUUGCCUGUGGUGGGUAAAGCAGUCACUCUCACUAGCCACUUUGGCAGGUGGAAUUCUAUAUAUAUCAGUCUAUUUUUUUCUAUUAUUGUGUAACGGACUGUCUCAUGUUAGGGUUUUGCGUUUACAAUAGUAUGUCCCUUCAGCGUUGCAGUAAAGGCAAAAGGCUGGUUGAGGAGUGAAGGUGGUUAUUAAUCCAUGAACCCAGAACGCUCAGUUACAUUGGUGGCAGCAGUGGUUCAUGUAAACAGACUACGCACCCCAAUGACUCGAGUGUGCACUUUCUUAGUUUAGCUUAACUGUCUCAGUUUGCUUGCAGACUAAGUUUGAUUCAGAGAAUGAAACGCUACUAGUUCAAGAUGUGUUUGGAGAUGAAGAGAUGUGGAACAGCUCAGGGCUGUUCGGCAGACUGUCAGCCAGCAAAGAUAUCCAUGUGAACCUGCCUACUCCGUUUUCUAAAAUAAUAAACUCAUUGCAGGAUUCUCAAGCCUCAUGCAUUGACCAUGAGACACACGCAUUUCAACCAGUUCACACGCCACACCUUGCGAAGGAAAUGGCAACCAAGUUGUCCUACUAAUGUUGUAUUGUGCACGUAUUCCCCAGUCGGCCACCGUACACUUAUUGCGCGAACACACAAUGAUCUGGAUUAUCAUCUGUGUCGCCCUUGCACAGGUCUUUAUACCAACAAAAUCACCUGUGACCUUGGAUGACGCCUUGUCAUGUAUAAGUUCCGGUGUUCUCCUGAGAUCAGUCCUACGGAAUCUUUUCGUGAGUUCAUGGGAUUCCGAGUAACCGCUUAGCUGUAUUGCAGGCGGGUAGAUGGAUCCCUGGCAUUCAGGAUAGUUCUUUUGACCGGUUCAGUUAGCCCUCUAGCGGCCCCACAGUUGGAGGCGGCUUGGAUUGGAUCGGGAUGCCAAAUCUGACCUUCCAAUUUAUGGUGGAGAAAACUUGCUCGCACAAGCAUGUGGAUACAAAGAUGGACAGGACCCCAAAUGCAUACUUCACUGUCAGGUGUCGGAAUGGCAUUCUAUGUAUCCGGUUUUGGGAGGUUUUCAGUAUCAUGCCACUUGUGCCCAUAAAAAAGACGAGCUCUGACGAGCAAGAUCUUCAAGAUCAGCUGUCAAUCUUCUGAACUUUGACACCCAAUAGUCUUUUUCAGCUAUGUCUGCCAGUUCGAUCUCACGAUUGGGUUGGCUUACAUCUGUAAAUGCCGACAUAUUCAACAUAAUAGAUCGAUGCUCGGGAGUGACGGGAAAAACGGGGGGGGGUCAUCCAGGGUCACAGGUGACUUUGUAUAGAGACUCGACCUGCGCAAGCGUGAGACAGAAGAUAAUCCAGUGUUAAGCACUGCCUCUGGCGGUCAGUAAGGAUAAAACUAUAAUACUCAUACGCCUUGUGAGGCAAUUUUGUAAUUGUUGAUUCGGGGCGAGCCAAAACUAAAUCAAUUGAAUUCAAAUGAAGUGAAUGGACAUUUUAUAUAGAAAUAAAAUAUACAUUAUUAUUUAUUUAUUAGGCUUUCUCACAAAUAUUUAGGCCUAACAAAGAGCUGUGAUCGAGGAAGGGGCGGAGACAUGGAAACCGUGAAAACGGAAAAUAACUGUCUUGUAUCGUUAAUGGGUCAUGUUUUUUGUCAUCCUAACCUAAUAAACAGCAGAUUUCUUUAUCUUACUAUUGGGUUCAUCAAGGAGAAUUCAAUUAAUUUUAUUUUGUAUAGCCCAAAAUCACAAAUUGGCCUCAGAGGGCUUUACAGUCUGUACACAUGCGACAUUCUCUGUCCCGAAACCCACCAUCGGCACAGGAAAUACUCCGCAAAAAAUGAAAAACCCUUCCACCUUCCUUAAGGAGAACGUCAUAGGAGGAAUUCCUGCCCUGGGAAUGGACAGACUACAAUGGAUGCCAUGUGUACAGAAUGAACAAUGUAAAACAUGUACAAUACAUUCAUUUCCUAUAACAGAUGAUUCAAAUAAUUGCGAGUAGCAAGCCAGGCGCACGGCAGGACCACGGCAGGGACAACCACCAUCCUGAGAAGCCUAUGGGGAGAAAAAAGACAAAGAAUUUAGGAAAGGGUAAUGUUGGUUUAUGAUGACAGUAAGAGUAAUAUGAUCCAUAUUUAAAAUAACAAUGAUGAUCGCAGGUGUCAGCAGGGCCACGGUAGGAGGCAGGCCAGCUCUAACUAAAAGCUUAAAUCUUUCCUCUUUAAUAUUGCUUAAUCUUAAAAGAGCUGACCGAAUCUUCCCCCCGGAAUGAAAGUGGAAGCUCGUUCCACAAAAGAGGAGCUUGAUAACUGAAGGCUCUGGCUCCCAUCCUACUUUUUAAAACCAUAGGAACAACAAGUAACCAAGCAUCUAUAGAGCGCAGCUGCCUUGUAGGGAAAUACGGUGUUACAAGCUCUAAGAUAAGGUCGGUGCCUCACCAGCAAGUGCCUUGUAGGUGAGAAGUACCUUAAAUUCUAUUCUUGAUUUAACAGAGAGCCAGUGCAGAGAAGUUAAAACAGGAGUAAUAUGAUCCAUUUUCUUAGUGGCCAACUGUGGGUGAGUGGGGAGCACGGUCGUCCUCCAAUCAGAGGGUUGUGGGUUCGAUCCCAGUCCUGGCUAACCCGCAUGUCGAUGUGUCCUUGGGUAAGACACUUAACCCAACAUUGCUCCUGUAGCUGCGACUACAGUGUGUGAAUGUUAGUUACUGAUGGCAGGUGUCACUGUGUAUGGUUCUCCUGUCAUCAGUGUGUGAAUGGGUGAAUGAUGUCAUGUAGUGUUAAAGCGCUUUGAGUGGUCAGAAGACUAGAAAAGCGCUAUAUAAGUACAGUCCAUUUACCAUCUCUCAGGGGACGGGACCAGCAUGUUACAGGGUAGACUCUGUUUCUCCACUAAGGCCUGAUCCCUACAGCCUUUAGUGUCUCACUAGAACUUUCUAGAACUUUGCCUCUUUUAACUAGUUCUAACAGAAUAUUUUAGCACACCCCACGUUAUCAGUGUACAUGACAUUGCAGUUACUGUAGCAGUGAUCAAAAGGUAAGGAAUUUUUCAUAUCUCAGCUGUUUGGUAUUUGUUGGAUUUACAAACAGACUAUUGAAUUCGUAUUCUUCCCGAGGGUUGGCCUAAAGGUCUCCAAACCAAGCCAGAACCAACUUAUAUGAAGACUACAUAUGAAGGCUUCACAUUCUUCACAACAUUAGACUCCACACAGAAAGGCCACUGGGCAGAGUCGAACCCAGGACCUUCUUGCUGUGAGGCGACAGUGCUAACCACCACGCCACCGUGCCACUGGAAUCCAAGCAUAUGAAUCAUAAAGGCCUCUUACCUUUAAACCGUUGAACAAAAUUAAUUUUUUUAAGCGAGAUACGUGCUGCAACCACUGAAUGCACAUCACAAGCAAUUUCAGCGUCUUCCACACAGGCUGUACGGGUUGUUGUUUUUUUUCAGCCAAUCCGCACUUUUGAGCGUCAUUUUACGCUCUACUCAUCUGAGUGACUAAGGAAGCUCUCGCUCUUUUUCACGUGGCUUUAGUCAGAACAAAUAGGAUCAGACGAUUCAAAAAUGUGGUUGAAACAGGCAAAUGGGCCUAUCACAGCAUGCUCAGUUUAUCUUCACUAACAACGUGAAACUGUCCAUUUGCCCUGUACACACUGGGCUAGUGUAGAUAUACGUAGAUAUGCUCUGGCGUAGCAUCUCCAUGUUUUCAUAUGGCUCCUAGGGCUGUUUGUGAUUUUUAUUCAGGUGAUUCCUUUUCAGGUGAAGUUUGUUUGUGUUGUAUUGAUUUAUUUCUUCACCAGUAAGAUAACUGAUUGUUCAUAACACUCAUAGGGGUUCCUCUUUAUCCCCACAGAAAAUAAUUGUCCAGACGCACUGUAGAAAUAAUUAUACACUGUAUUUGUAACGGUGUUGCUGAUGCAACACCAUUUUGUUCAGUCCAGUAUUGAUCAGUUCUAUCAACCUUUGGUAGCUGACUAUCCUCUAUUUAAACAUCAUUCCAGCUUCUUUUAAGACGUAAUUCUGGUUUCCAGCAUGUAUAUGUACUUUCUGGUUUGGGCUCACUGUAACCAUUUUGUUUCUUAGGUCUUUUUCUCAUUGAGCUUAAACCUCCACACUUUUCAGUUUGAUCCAAAAUAAAAUCACAUGUGUGAAACCGCCCUCCGGCCAAAUAGCUGAACCUUGUUAUUCUAUUGGUUUGGACUUUUAACACCAAUUACAGGAGGUUCUUGUCAGAAUUUAGAAAAAAUAAACAAUGACAAAAUGGUCCCCUAUCAGCGCACACUCAUGUUAACAUGUAUGAACUGAGACAUCCCCUUAGCAUGGCCCACUGUGUAAUCACACUAAUCAGGAGGCCUGUUCACACCCACCACAUGUCAUCUCUACUGAGUGACUGCCAACUGUAGUGAACACAAUACAGAUGUCACUGCUGUUACUAUAAAGCGGAGCAUUGUCCUGUUCUGUCUGACAGUUGUAAGUUGUGCACAAUGUAAACACCUUUUAAGACAGUUGUUGACAAAUGAGGGGCUUUACAGAUGUUAAAUCUGAGGUUUUAUGUUUACAUGUCCUUCCUAUGCACUUAAAUAGAAUCAACUACUGUGAUUAAACAUACCAAUAAACUGUAUAAAAUAAACUACAAGCUACUUUGGGUGGGUAGUGGGGCUAACUUGCUUGUUUAUGUGGUUAUUUUUGCUGUAUUUUUUUCCAUUUUCUUCAAAAAAUGUAGUCCAGGUCAAUAUGUAAUUUGAUGUAAAUCCAAUUUUAUCAUACAGGUUAGAAUUCUGACAUGAUAAUGUUUACCUCACGUUCAAAUACUCCGCACACACUUUAAGUAAACAUUGACAUCACCAUCUAAAUAUUCACCUGUCUAGCACUUAUGUUCAGUGUACUGCAGAUAAAUGUGUUUGGGUACAAAACAGCAUACGUAGGCCCAGGCAGGUCUGUGAAUUUCUCCUACUACUGCGUCCGGGUUGUCUGUCACUUCCAGCGGGACACGGGUUUAAAAACUUGUUGGCUCGGAUGGUUGACUGGAUUUCACUGACUUCACAUCAUACAUUUCUGCCGAGGGAACUGUCCCAUGGUGAGACACUGUGUGCUCAAGCACAUCCAAACAGCGCUUUUAGGAGCCACCCGUACGUUAUCAUUGAGCAUACUUUUAUGAAUUAUAUUCAGUGCAGUGAUGGGAUGUUGUAAAAAAGGCAUCUUUGUAUGCUGUUUGUCAAAAGUGCGAGGUCGCAAUAUGAUGUAUAUUGAUGGUUUGGCGUUCGGCGUUGCUGCGCUAUCGCAAAUUUGCAUAGCUCAUCGCGUCUGUGCGUAGACUCUGUAUGUUAUCCCAUGGCGUGAAAUACUUGCGUCGCGUUUGGUGCGAAUACACCUUUAAUCCGGUCUGGAAUGAAUAAUUAUUCAUUUUGGGUGUAUGAAAAGGUUAAUGGUGAAGAGUCUUUGGCGAUUAGACUGAAUUGCCUCUCAGAAUACCCACAAUCAGCUGGCAGUGGAGGAGCCGAAGACAGAUCAGGAGAAAGAAUAAACAAGUAAAAAGAGUCUUUUCAUUUCCACACGGAACAUAAACAGCAGUCUCCUUAAUGAAUGUGCUUAAAUUGUCCACCUCCAGCUUUCCAACUCCCCAAUAAUGAUGCAGGUGGGUGUCACUGAUCGAGCUGCGUGACAUGUUGGGAGCGAGAAUGGCUUGUUCUAGAAAGAAGAAAGACAGAUGAUUGAAGCUGUUUUUUGAACUGACAUUUCUUCUCUCUCUCUCUUGCAGCCUGACCCCCCCAACGCUGCGUGUGAAAUCCUCAAAUGGACUCAUCCCUUUUUUGUGCAUAUCUGUCUGCGUGUGCCACUAUUUGUUCUUUACGUUAUAUACUGAGUUUGAGUCAUUUCAAAUUCCCUCCUCUGAUGAUUAAUUGUAGUCAUUUUAAUGAAUGUAACCGCUAUGUGUGGUUAAUUGUAAAUUAAAUGUGAUGCAAUCUGCCUCUGAGCCUGUGCGUGUGUCUUUGCCAUCAUUAUUACUCAUUUAGAAGUGACGUAACUGGAAUUUAUUGAAACUGUGUUUGUGUUUCAGGGCACUUUCACACCUGCAGUUUGUUUGCGUUGUUCUGAUUCAGGAUUAAUUAUGUUGCAGCGACCCCUUUGUUCAGUUUGUGUUCCCACUGCAACAUUUAAGUGGACUAGAUAUUGGAAACAAACACCACGCGUGUUGUUCUCUCAUUGGUGAGAUUUUAAAGCAGCUGUAUAAAUAGGCUCUAAAUGGCCUAAAAGAGCAGAUACAUAGUUUGUGUUCCCCUCAGUGGCAGAACGUGCCGUGCCCCUGGAAUAUGUUCUAGGCUUCCACACAGCGUUGUUCUACAUGCCCGAACAGAUGGCUGUGGGAGGACUUGUGCAUGACAACAAGUCACUCUCGCUGCUGUUUCUAGUUCCGCUCACGCCUCAGCGAUCACGAGCGCCCGCAGUAGCUCAUGAGCUAAUCACGAGAGCAAAACACUGGACAGUGAUCUAAUUAAAGCUUUUGUCUGGCAACACAAGUCUGGAGGAAACAAAGGAGUGACUGGGAGUGGAAUUCAUGCGUUGUACGCAUCCUGGCUGAAGAUAAUGACAACAUCUGUUCACUUCCUCCCUAAAGGGGCAUGUUGCAAUCAUGUGCCAUUGAUGAAUACAGAAUAAUUGCUUCUUGACAUUGAUUAGGGUAAUUUUAAAGAUUAUGAUAGUCAUAAAGUUGUUUAUGACUGCCGGGAGUUAUACUUCCAAAACGAUCAAACUAGAGAGUGAGAGAGAGAGACUUUGUAUCAGCAGGCCCAGCCUUCAACAGCUACACCCAAAGAACAGUUCAAUAAACAUUCAAUUCCAUGAGUGUGUGUUCUCUGCAACUUAUAGUGGAGGUGGUCGGAAUUCCUCAACAUUGUGGGAGACAUUAGACUGAGUGAAUUUCUCUUGAGAGUUUCCUAUUGAUUAUUCACUUGCUGUUUCUCACGGUAGCUUUAGAAGGCAGAGGAAAAGGACCACCAGAGAUGGUGGAACAGAUCCGGAAUUAAUAAGCACUGUGAGACUGUUGCAUAAGCUAUGCACAUGCCCACUAAGCAGAAGGAGACACUAUCAUCCCUCCUCCCCUUCUCUGGGCUUUCUUAGUGACAAUAAAACGGGCCCACCAGAAAUUAAGGAAUUUUCUAAAUUCAUUUUCCUCCUUGGACAAUUAACUCAUUUAUAUCUUUUCAUGGGAUUUGCGCCAAGCCUCCCAAUGGGACUGUGGAACUUUGUAGGAGUGUGGACUAACACCUGGUCUAGUCAGGCAUACAAGAGCUUAAGAUAAGAUGGAGCACCUUAUCAAUUGUGCUUGCACCAAUUUUAUUUACAUUUAUCCACCAGUCAAACGUCUAUGCUUCCUUUAGGACAGGGGGGCCCAAACUUUUUCGGCUCGCAAGCUACUUUUCAAGUGACCAGGUCAUGGCGUCCGUUAGUACACAAGGAUCGCUAAUUAGCAUUAGCAUUAUUUUCGUACAGCUCCCGCGGUCGACCGUGAUUUAUUUUACAGAUGAUCUGCAGUCUACUGGCACUGGCUUUGCGAUCGACUGGUCAAUGAAAAUGGUGUUUUAUAGAGGUGAAUUUAUAGGUGAUUGUCACUAAAAUAGCAAGGCUUUGUUAGCAGCUGUUCUGCAAUAAAACAUGCUGCAAAGGGGAAGAGUAAGCAGCCAAGAAUUGAUAGAAUUUAAGACUUUUGUUGUAUUCAAAAAUGCAACGCCGGACGGACAGAGGUCAUUGCAGAUCAAAAGGUAAAAUCAAAUGUAUUUAAUAAAAGAGAUGGUGUUGUGGUAAAAAGAACAUCUCAGCUGAGGAGCCGCUGGUCUCAGCAAGCAACAGGCCCCAGGUCAGUCCUUUGACCAUCCCUAGUGCCCGUCUCUUGUCUCCCCCAGCGAACCCGAGAACAAUGGUUCCUACAGGUAUUUAUAACAAUGCUUAAAGGUGUGAAAGUCAGUGUCCAAACCUCUGGGAGUGGUCUUCUGGUGAGUUCAAUGUAACUCGGAUUUCGAAUGACCCUUAGUCAAUAUCAGUUGUUGUGCAAGUAUUACAUGCAUGCAUUCCAGUUGAUUACAUUACAUCAAAUACAAUCGUAACUGUACAUUGGUGUUAUUCUAUUACAGUUGCAGAAUUACAGUGGUUUUACAAUAUUGUCAUUACUCUUUCAUU